UACGUAGGGGGCAAGCGUUGUCCGGAAUCAUUGGGCGUAAAGCGCGUGUAGGCGGCUCGGUAAGUCCGCUCUGAAAGUCCAGGGCUCAACCCUGGGAUGCGGGUGGAUACUGCCGGGCUCGAGUCCGGAAGAGGCGAGUGGAAUUCCCGGUGUAGCGGUGAAAUGCGCAGAUAUCGGGAGGAACACCAAUGGCGAAGGCAGCUCGCUGGGACGUGACUGACGCUGAGGAGCGAAAGCGUGGGGAGCGAACAGG
rnacentral:rRNA from 1 species